AUAUUGCUGCAGAAAAACCAGUCCCCAAGCCACCUCCAGCAAAGCCUUCUAGGCCCCGGCCGAAGAGUCGAAUUUCUCGGUACAGGACCAGUUCAGCCCAAAGACUAAAGCGUCAGAAGCAGGCCAGUGCACAACAGGCAGAAUUGUCACAAGCUGCCUUGGAAGAGGGAGGAAGUAACAGUUUAGUAACUCCUACUGAAGCUGGAAGUAUAGACAGCUCAGGAGAAAACAGGCCAUUAACAGGGUCUGACCCAACUGUGGUGUCAAUUACUGGAUCCCAUGUCAACCGUGCUGCAUCUAAAUACCCCAAAACCAAAAAGUAUCUAGUUACGGAAUGGUUGAAUGACAAAGCAGAGAAGCAAGAGUGCCCUGUUGAGUGCCCUUUACGUAUCACAACGGAUCCAACUGUACUGGCAACGACCCUAAACAUGUUACCAGGUCUUAUCCAUUCCCCGUUAAUUUGCACCACCCCCAAACACUACAUUCGCUUUGGCUCACCCUUUAUCCCUGAGAGACGUCGAAGGCCCCUUCUGCCUGAUGGCACAUUCAGCUCCUGUAAGAAGCGCUGGAUAAAACAAGCCUUAGAAGAAGGGAUGACUCAAACAUCAUCUGUACCCCAAGAGACUAGAACUCAGCACCUAUACCAAAGCAAUGAGAAUAGUAGCUCUUCUAGUAUCUGCAAAGACAAUGCAGAGGAAGAGAGAGAUCUCAAGUCAGGGAUCAGUUUUCCCAGGACGACAAAGAAGGACUAGACAGUGUACAGAUAACAGCAGAAAUGGUUAUAAAAAAGACUUGUUGAGCCCAUUAAAGAAAUGGAAGUCUCGCUAUCUGAUGGAGCAGAAUGUCACCAAGUUACUUCGGCCUCUGUCUCCAGUCACACCACCCCCUCCCAAUUCAGGCUCAAAGAGCCCCCAGCUGGCCACACCUGGCUCAUCUCACCCAGGAGAAGAGGAGUGUCGAAAUGGAUACAGCCUCAUGUUUUCACCAGUCACAUCUCUUACUACUGCUAGUCGCUGCAACACUCCUCUGCAGUUUGAGGUGAUUUGGGUUUGGUUGCUGGGAGUACUGGAUAUGAAACUCAUCAUUUGUACCUUCUCAUUUCAAAUAUAAUACCAUUCCAAAUGUUUCUUUACUAUCUUCCUUCGCCAUCUCAGUAAGAGAAUGGGAAACCUCAGGGUCAUUGUGGCCUGUUACCUGGUAGCCUCUCAUCUUGGCAGCCCCUAUACUUCCCAAAAUAGGCAUACUGCUACCACAGAUCCCAUUCGUGUAUCUUUUGCAUGCAGUCCAUCAGUCUCCAUAAGUUUAGGUAGUAAGCAUGCU
rnacentral:sRNA from 1 species